rnacentral:rRNA from 1 species
AAGUAGAAAAGAGCGUAUGGGGGAUGCCUAGGCUCUCAGAGGCGAUGAAGGACGUGAUAAGCUGCGAUAAGCUGCGGGGAUUGGCACAUACGAUGUGAUCCGCAGAUUUCCGAAUGGGACAACCCACUAUGUUGAAGACAUAGUAUCCAGCAAUGGAGGCGAACGUAGGGAACUGAAACAUCUAAGUACCUAUAGGAAGAGAAAACAAUUAGUGAUUCCGUUAGUAGUGGCGAGCGAACGCGGAACAGCCCAAACCAGAGUAGUUACGGCUACUUUGGGGUUGUAGGACUGCGAUAUCUUAACAAAAAUGAAUUGGAAGCAUCUGGGAAGUUGCGCCAUAGAGGGUGAAAGCCCCGUACAGGUAAGUUUUUGAGCGGUAGCAGUAUCCUGAGUAGGGCGGGGCAGGUGAAACCCCGUUUGAAUCUGCCGGCACCAUCCGGCAAGGCUAAAUACUCCUGAGAGACCGAUAGUGAACCAGUACCGUGAGGGAAAGGUGAAAAGCACCCCGACGAGGGGAGUGAAACAGUACCUGAAACCGAACGCCUACAAUCAGUCGGAGCUUGACUGG